GUGAAAAUAAAGCUUUCUAGUGAAAACCAGCAGCUGCUAUCUUUUGCAAAAAAGAAAAACUCCAAGAAAAUGCCUAAGGAGAAGAAGAAGAAGAAAGAUCCAGGAAACGAAGAAAGUGAAAAGAUAGGAGUAUUAGGAAAAAGAUGGAAAGAAGUGCUGAAUUGGAUAAUUAAAUUAAUACCCACUCUCGUGAAACACGCGCUUUAACCACGCUCUAUUGGAUGUUGUGGGACCCAAGGUUAGUGAAUGAUACCUCUCAAAGUUACCGAACAACAACCCAGUAUAAUUUCACUUGUGGAUCUGGGAAAAGUAGUGUGUACGCAGACCUUACCCCUACCUUGGAGUAGAAAGGCUGUUUCCGAUAAACCCUCGGCUCCAUCCCUCCAAGAACUUUCCACCUUAUUCUUGGGAUGACUCGAACUCACAAUCUCUUAGUUGAAAGCGGAGAUACUUGACACUAUAGCAACCACUGCCAAACAAAGCACUGAAUUGGAUGGCUUUCACUUGUUUUCUAGUCCAAUGAUAGUGACUACUCUACUUCAAUCUGUUUUCCAUUUUUGUUCUGUCUAAUUUUUUAUAUUUUUUGGGCUUGUAAGUUAGUCUAAAAUGAAAGUCAAUGAGGAAAAAUUACUGCUUCUUUUCUUCCUUCUUCA